rnacentral:rRNA from 1 species
UGCAAGCGUAUACCAAAGUUGUUGCAGUUAAAACGCUCGUAGUCGGAAUUUGGCAGUUCCGGAAGUGUGCACGUCGUGUGCGCACUUUGCGGGGACUGCUUUUGUGGUCUUGCGUAGGAUGAGGCACUUUCAUUAGUGAACGUCCUCACGCAACCACUCUUUACUGUGAGAAAAUCAGAGUGCUCAAAGCAGGCAUUUGCCGUGAAUGUAUUAGCAUGGAAUAAUAGAAUAGGACUCGGUUCUAUUUUGUUGGUUUGUUGGGACUGAGUAAUGAUUAAGAGGGACAGUUGGGGGCAUUUGUAUUCCGGCGCUAGAGGUGAAAUUCUUAGAUUGCCGGAAGACAAACUGCUGCGAAAGCGUCUGCCAAGGAUGUUUUCAUUGA